GACGAACGCUGGCGGCGUGCUUAACACAUGCAAGUCGAACGGAAAGGCCCUGCUUUUGUGGGGUGCUCGAGUGGCGAACGGGUGAGUAACACGUGAGUAACCUGCCCUUGACUUUGGGAUAACUUCAGGAAACUGGGGCUAAUACCGGAUAGGAGCUCCUGCUGCAUGGUGGGGGUUGGAAAGUUUCGGCGGUUGGGGAUGGACUCGCGGCUUAUCAGCUUGUUGGUGGGGUAGUGGCUUACCAAGGCUUUGACGGGUAGCCGGCCUGAGAGGGUGACCGGCCACAUUGGGACUGAGAUACGGCCCAGACUCCUACGGGAGGCAGCAGUGGGGAAUAUUGCACAAUGGGCGGAAGCCUGAUGCAGCAACGCCGCGUGCGGGAUGACGGCCUUCGGGUUGUAAACCGCUUUCGCCUGUGACGAGGCGUGAGAGACGGUAAUGGGUAAAGAAGCACCGGCUAACUACGU
rnacentral:rRNA from 1 species